CGGAUCUUACCUGCGCAGAGCAAAAUCGGUUGUAGAUUAUAUCCACGAAAAUUCCUUCUAUUAAAAUGAAUUUCAAGUCCCACCUACCCUGGAAGCAGAAAGAGAGAGAAGAGAGAGAGUAAAGAGAAAGAGAAAAGAAAGAGAAGUUGAAAAAGAGAAAGAAAACCAAGAAAGAAAGAGAAAAAAACCGAAAAUAAAUGGACAAGAAAGAAAAUUCCCAAGAAUGAAUAUAGAAUGUGCUGGAAAAGCAACAUCCUGAGAGGAAGGGACCGGUGAGAAAAGGACAGGAUGUGUUCCAGAUCCCCAGAACAGGAUCCCCUUUGUUGCUUUAGGCCAACGUGCCAUGCAUCCCUGGAGCAUGAAACCCAGGAUGGGCCGCCUUCCAGCCUCCCGCAGCUGUGAUGCAAGUUGAACACAUACAGAGAGACUGCAUCUGCACUGGGUGGUUUUCCUGAGCCUUGGGGAGCAGAAUGCAUGAAUCCCAGGCGUCUGCCGAUCUGUAUGUAACAAAUUCACUUCAUGUAACUUACUGUGUGUCCGUGAGAUUAUCUCUCACUCAACUCAGACACAUUGGCAACCCGUGUGCAGUGAACCUGCUUCACAAGCAAGGAUGUGGAGAAACUAUUUUCGUACAUUUUGUGGGAAUCUGAAAUACUGCGGUCAGUGUGGAAAGCAGUAUCAUGGGAAACUUCCUCAACUCAAGAUCACCUACCAAUCCUUACAGAAUCAGAAUCAUCAUACAAACUGGUGAAAGCAUAGUUUCCCCUAGAGGUUGGGAUGAGGGCAAGAAUGUCCCCUCUUAUCACUACUAUUCCACACAAUAUGAAAGGUUCCAGCCAGUGAAAUAAAGGAAAAAGAAAUAAAA